UUAAUUGAAGAGUUUGAUCAUGGCUCAGAUUGAACGCUGGCGGCAGGCCUAACACAUGCAAGUCGAGCGGCAGCACAGAGGAACUUGUUCCUUGGGUGGCGAGCGGCGGACGGGUGAGUAAUGCCUGGGAAAUUGCCCGGUAGAGGGGGGAUAACCAUUGGAAACGAUGGCUAAUACCGCAUAACCUCGCAAGAGCAAAGCAGGGGACCUUCGGGCCUUGCGCUACCGGAUAUGCCCAGGUGGGAUUAGCUAGUUGGUGAGGUAAGGGCUCACCAAGGCGACGAUCCCU
rnacentral:rRNA from 1 species